rnacentral:rRNA from 1 species
AUUGAACGCUGGCGGCGUGCUUAACACAUGCAAGUCGAGCGGCAGCGCGGGAGCAAUCCUGGCGGCGAGCGGCGAACGGGUGAGUAAUGCUUCGGAAUCUGCCCAGUAGUGGGGAAUAACCAGUCGAAAGAUUGGCUAAUACCGCAUACGACCUGAGGGUGAAAGCGGGGGAUCGCAAGACCUCGCGCUAUCGGAUGAGCCGAAGUCGGAUUAGCUAGUUGGUGGGGUAACGGCUCACCAAGGCGACGAUCCGUAGCUGGUCUGAGAGGACGACCAGCCACACUGGGACUGAGAAACGGCCCAGACUCCUACGGGAGGCAGCAGUGGGGAAUAUUGGACAAUGGGGGCAACCCUGAUCCAGCGACGCCGCGUGUGUGAAGAAGGCCUGCGGGUUGUAAAGCACUUUUAGUGGGGAGGAAAUGCUCAGACCUAACACGUCUGGGAACUGACUUAACCCAAAGAAAAAGCACCGGCUAACUCUGUGCCAGCCGCCGCCGUAAAAC